rnacentral:rRNA from 1 species
AGAUUGAACGCUGGCGGCAGGCCUAACACAUGCAAGUCGAGCGGUAGAGAGGUGCUUGCAUCUCUUGAGAGCGGCGGACGGGUGAGUAAUGCCUAGGAAUCUGCCUAGUGGUGGGGGAUAACGUUCGGAAACGGACGCUAAUACCGCAUACGUCCUACGGGAGAAAGCGGGGGACCUUCGGGCCUCGCGCCAUUAGAUGAGCCUAGGUCGGAUUAGCUAGUUGGUGAGGUAAUGGCUCACCAAGGCGACGAUCCGUAACUGGUCUGAGAGGAUGAUCAGUCACACUGGAACUGAGACACGGUCCAGACUCCUAACGGGAGCAGCAGGUGGGAA